rnacentral:rRNA from 1 species
UACAGAGGGUGCGAGCGUUGUUCGGAAUUAUUGGGCGUAAAGGGCGCGUAGGCGGUGCGGUAAGUCACCUGUGAAAUCUCCUGGCUCAACUGGGAGCUUGCAGGCGAAACUGCCGUGCUGGAGUGUGGGAGAGGUGCGUGGAAUUCCCGGUGUAGCGGUGAAAUGCGUAGAUAUCGUUUGGAACGCCAAUGGUGAAAACAGACAGCUGGGGAGUGUGCUGACGCUGGAGACACGGAAAGCCAGGGGAGCGAAACGGG